UUGUUGGUAAGGUAAAGGCUUACCAAGGCUUCGAUCAGUAGCUGGUCUGAGAGGACGGCCAGCCACACUGGGACUGAGACACGGCCCAGACUCCUACGGGAGGCAGCAGUGGGGAAUUUUGGACAAUGGGGGAAACCCUGAUCCAGCCAUGCCGCGUGAGUGAAGAAGGCCUUCGGGUUGUAAAGCUCUUUCAGCCGGAACGAAACGGUUACGGAUAAUACCCGUGACUACUGACGGUACCGGAAGAAGAAGCACCGGCUAACUACGUGCCAGCAGCCGCGGUAAUACGUAGGGUGCGAGCGUUAAUCGGAAUUACUGGGCGUAAAGCGUGCGCAGGUGGUUUUGUAAGUCAGAUGUGAAAGCCCCGGGCUCAACCUGGGAACUGCGUUUGAAACUACAAGACUAGAGUGUGGCAGAGGGGGGUGGAAUUCCGCGUGUAGCAGUGAAAUGCGUAGAGAUGUGGAGGAACACCGAUGGCGAAGGCAGCCCCCUGGGUUAACACUGACACUCAGGCACGAAAGCAUGGGGAGCAAACAGGAUUAGAUACCCUGGUAGUCCAUGCCCUAAACGAUGUCAACUAGUUGUCGGGCCUUUACGGGCUUGGUAACGUAGCUAACGCGUGAAGUUGACCGCCUGGGGAGUACGAUCGCAAGAUUAAAACUCAAAUGAAUUGACGGGGACCCGCACAAGCGGUGGAUUAUGUGGAUUAAUUCGAUGCAACGCGAAAAACCUUACCUACCCUUGACAUGUAUCGAAGCCCGCAGAAAAGCGGGGGUGCCCGAAAGGGAACGAUAACACAGGUGCUGCAUGGCUGUCGUCAGCUCGUGUCGUGAGAUGUUGGGUUAAGUCCCGCAACGAGCGCAACCCUUGUCAUUAAUUGCCACCAUUUAGUUGGGCACUUUAAUGAGACUGCCGG
rnacentral:rRNA from 1 species